UCUCGCUAUAAGACUUUUGUUUGUUUAACAUCUUAUAGUUAAAAUGAUAAAUGAACUAAACUUGUAGACGGUAGUAAGGACUUUUUGUUUUGGACGCGGGUUCGAUUCCCGCCAUCUCCACCA
rnacentral:tmRNA from 1 species